rnacentral:rRNA from 1 species
AGAGUUUGAUCCUGGCUCAGGACGAACGCUGGCGGCGUGCCUAACACAUGCAAGUCGAGCGGAGACAGUGAGUAGCUUGCUAUGAGCUGUUUUAGCGGCGGACGGGUGAGUAACGCGUGAGCAACCUUUCCCAGACAGGGGAAUAACACACCGAAAGGUGUACUAAUACCGCAUAAGACCACGGAAUCACAUGGUUCUGAGGUAAAAGAUUUAUCGGUUUGGGGUGGGCUCGCGUCCGAUUAGGUAGUUGGUGAGGUAACGGCCCACCAAGCCGACGAUCGGUAGCCGACCUGAGAGGGUGAUCGGCCACAUUGGGACUGAGACACGGCCCAAACUCCUACGGGAGGCAGCAGUGGGGAAUAUUGCACAAUGGGGGAAACCCUGAUGCAGCGACGCCGCGUGAGCGAAGAAGUAUUUCGGUAUGUAAAGCUCUAUCAGCAGGGAAGAUAAUGACGGUACCUGACUAAGAAGCCCCGGCUAACUACGUGCCAGCAGCCGCGGUAAUACGUAGGGGGCAAGCGUUGUCCGGAAUAAUUGGGCGUAAAGGGCGCGUAGGCGGCUCGGUAAGUCUGGAGUGAAAGUCCUGCUUUUAAGGUGGGAAUUGCUUUGGAUACUGUCGGGCUUGAGUGCAGGAGAGGUUAGUGGAAUUCCCAGUGUAGCGGUGAAAUGCGUAGAGAUUGGGAGGAACACCAGUGGCGAAGGCGACUAACUGGACUGUAACUGACGCUGAGGCGCGAAAGUGUGGGGAGCAAACAGGAUUAGAUACCCUGGUAGUCCACACUGUAAACGAUGAAUGCUAGGUGUAGGGGGUAUCGACCCCUUCUGUGCCGCAGUCAACACAAUAAGCAUUCCGCCUGGGGAGUACGGCCGCAAGGUUGAAACUCAAAGGAAUUGACGGGGGCCCGCACAAGCAGCGGAGCAUGUGGUUUAAUUCGAAGCAACGCGAAGAACCUUACCAGGUCUUGACAU